rnacentral:rRNA from 1 species
GUCCUCCUAUUUUCAGUUGGUUUUGGCAGCGCGAGGACUAGGGUAAUGGAUUAAUAGGGAUAGUUGGGGGCAUUAAUAUUUAAUUGUCAGAGGUGAAAUUCUUGGAUUUAUGAAAGAUUAACUUCUGCGAAAGCAUCUGCCAAGGAUGUU